rnacentral:tRNA from 1 species
GGUGGGAUGGCCGAGUGGCCGAUGGCGCACGCUUGGAAAGCGUGUGUACCGCAAGGUACCGUGGGUUCGAAUCCCACUCCCACCG